AGUGAACGCUGGCGGUAGGCCUAACACAUGCAAGUCGAACGGCAGCACAGUAAGAGCUUGCUCUUACGGGUGGCGAGUGGCGGACGAGUGAGGAAUACAUCGGAAUCUACUUUUUCGUGGGGGAUAACGUAGGGAAACUUACGCUAAUACCGCAUACGACCUACGGGUGAAAGCAGGGGAUCUUCGGACCUUGCGCGAUUGAAUGAGCCGAUGUCGGAUUAGCUAGUUGGCGGGGUAAAGGCCCACCAAGGCGACGAUCCGUAGCUGGUCUGAGAGGAUGAUCAGCCACACUGGAACUGAGACACGGUCCAGACUCCUACGGGAGGCAGCAGUGGGGAAUAUUGGCCCAUGGGCGCAAGCCUGAUCCCGCCCUCCCGCGUGGGUGAAGAAGGCCUUCGGGUUGUAAAGCCCUUUUGUUGGGAAAGAAAAGCAGCAGGUUAAUACCCCGCUGUUCUGACGGUACCCCCCGAAUAAGCACCGGCUCCCUUCGUG
rnacentral:rRNA from 1 species